rnacentral:rRNA from 1 species
AUUGAACGCUGGCGGCAGGCUUAACACAUGCAAGUCGAGCGGGGUGAUGGUGCUUGCACUAUCACUUAGCGGCGGACGGGUGAGUAAUGCUUAGGAAUCUGCCUAUUAGUGGGGGACAACAUCUCGAAAGGGAUGCUAAUACCGCAUACGUCAUACGGGAGAAAGCAGGGGAUCACUUGUGACCUUGCGCUAAUAGAUGAGCCUAAGUCGGAUUACCUAGGUGGUGGGGUAAGGGCCUACCAAGGCGACGUUCUGGAGCGGGGCGGAGAGGAUGAUCCGCCACACUGGGACUGAGACACGGCCCAGACUCCUACGGGAGGCAGCAGUGGGGAAUAUUGGACAAUGGGGGGAACCCUGAUCCAGCCAUGCCGCGUGUGUGAAGAAGGCCUUAUGGUUGUAAAGCACUUUAAGCGAGGAGGAGGCUCUUUUGGUUAAUACCCAAGAUGAGUGGACGUUACUCGCAGAAUAAGCACCGGCUAACUCUGUGCCAGCAGCCGCCGUAA